ensembl:lncRNA
ACGCAAGAAUUCCAGACGCACAGCCUACGCUGAUCCGCUGACCUCCAGAUCCGCUGCUGCUGUCCAGUGCACUCAAACACUCACUGCUCGUCUGCUUUACCCGCCGCUAACAGCACUGACAGCACCGCCACAGCCAUGCCCAGAGCCCGACUCCAUCAGGGCCGGUAGUUUUCGUCUGCAAGCGCUCCCUCUUCUGUGUGUGUGUGUGUGCGUGCUUUGAGAUGGAGGCAGAAGCAAAGCCCCCAGUAACGGUGGCCGGGCCCUCCAGGAUGUGGUGUGGGAAAAGGAGCAGAAAAGUUGGCGUGGCCAAUAUAUUUAUGGGCGUGUCCGUGCGUGAGCUGCAGCACCUGUUUCGCUCGUCAGGCGAUGAGGAGGCGGAGCAACGAGCACAGGUGGUGUGGGGGAGGGGCGAACAAUCUGAACUCGCCCAGGCGCUCAUGGGAUUGCGUGCUAGGGGUCGGAAAAACAGAAUCUCUCGUCACACAAUCGCCCCCCGCUGGUUACGAGCCUUUGGACACCUCAGGAUCGGUGAGAGUGCUUCGGGUCGAGACGCCCAGGAGGAUGAGGAGCGUGAGGCCCGGAAAAACUCCAGUGGAGAGGCAGCACAAACUCACGCUCAGACACACACACACGGUCAGACACACACACACGCUGCGGGGAGCAGAGAGGGGGAGGUCAGUGGAGAUGAGACUCAUCCGGGGAGGGGCACCCAGCCGGCCAUCUCCCUCACCAGCAGAGUGGGCUUAGCACUGCGCAGGGGGGGCCAGAGCGACCCAGAGCGCUACCUCCACCGUAUCAUACACUAACACACACACACACACACACAUCGCAUUAUACACUAACACACUUACACAUACACACUGCAUUAUACACUAACACACUUACACAUAUACACUGCAUUAUACACUAACACACACACACAUACACACUGCAUUAUACACUAAACACACACACACACACACACACUGCAUCAUACACUAACACACUAACAUACUCACCUCACAUUAUACACUAGCACAGACUGCUUCAUACACUUACACACAAAAACAUCACAUUAUACACUAACACACACACUGCAUCAUACACUUCACACUUACACACACAUAUCACAUUUUACACUCUCACACACACACACACAUCGCAUCAUACAUUAACACACACACACACACAAUCGCAUCAUACACUAACACAAACACGUACACACAUCGCAUUAUACACUAACACACACACUGCAUUAUACACUAACACACACUGCAUUAUACACUUACACACACGUGCACCACAUCAUACACUAACACAUUUACACACACAUCGCAUUAUACACUCACAGACACACAGCAUUAUACACUAAUACACACACACACGUGCGCGCACCACAUCAUACAUUACCACAUAUACACACAUUACCACAUAUACACACAUUAUACUCUAACACACUUAUACACACACAUCGCAUUAUCCACUCUCAUACACACACAACGCAUUAUACACAAACACACACACAACAUCAUACACUAACACACACACACACAAUAUCAUACACUAACACAACACACAGCAUCACACAGUAACUCUCCAACACAUUGCAUCAUACACUAACAUUCCAACACACAGCAUUAUACACUAAUAAACACACACACACACACACACACACACCCAUAUGCUGGUGAGGUUGGGCUGGGAGGCAUGUGGUGUCUGCUUGUGUGAACAGUGAAAACAACUCAAGUCUCACCUCCUGAUGGACACUUCCUGUGAGCCCAUGGAAGUGCAGCAAAUGACUUCCUGUUUGUAAGGCUAGUCCAGGUUAAAUGGCCUUAGUGGCCAGCACAAAUUGUCUUCAUCUUUAACUCGAAACGUCUUUAAGUUGAACUCUUAAACGUGAAAUCUGAGAAAGUUUUGCAGAGUUGUGUCGUGUGUAGGAUGUCUGAUUAUACUGAUGUGUGUGUCAUAUGUAGUUUGUCUGAUUAUACUGAUGUAUGUAGUUUCUAUUGUGGCGUUUUAUAAUGAAGACUAAACAUGCUGCUAUAGAAUGCUGGAUUUUCUUUGUAUUUGUGACUGCAUUAAAAUAAUUAUUUUGCAGUACCUGUUCAGAGAAUAUGUUUUGUGUGUGUGAGUGUUUGUGUGUUGUGUGUGUGUGUGUAUGUGUGUGUGCGUGUUUGUGUGUGUGUGUGCGUGUGUUUGCCUAAGACGGAGCAAGAGGGCCUCAGAGCUGGGAUAUGUGAGCAUAACAGAGAACUCCUCUGUGUAUGUGUGCGUGUGCAUGAGUCAGCUAAUCAGCUUUGACAUGUGACCUCCUGUGGCCACCGUGUCACACACCAUCGCACGAAACACACAUUGACUACUUACCUUGGUUGUAAGACUAGCACAUUCAUACUUCUCUUACAUUCUUUAGGUUCUAAGAUUAGCACACUCAUACUUCUCUUACACACUUUGGGUUUGAAGAGUAGCACACUCAUACUUCUCUUACACACUUCAGGUUCGAAGAGUAGCACACUCAUACUUCUCUUACACACUUUGGGUUCUAAGAGUAGCACACUUGUACUUCUCUUACACACUUUAGGUUCUAAGAGUAGCACACUCAUACCUCUGUUACACACUUUAGGUUCUAAGAGUAGCACACUCAUACCUCUGUUACACACUUUAGGUUCUAAGAGUAGCACACUCAUACUUCUACAUACUUAACCCUCCUAUUAUGUUUGGGGUCAAUUUGACCCCAUUCAAUGUUUAACGUCUCUAAAUAAAUGUUUGACAUCAUUUUUUUUGCUUCAU